UCUCAAAUCAAUUAGGUUUAG
rnacentral:piRNA from 1 species